UAGAAAAUGAUCUUGCCUUCACAAAGUACUAGAAUCCCUGGACAACUAACUGUCAACUAAGAACAUCUUUAACUUCCCACUCUAUUCUUAAUGUGAACCAAUCAGGUUUUAGAAUCCCAUCUAUUCUUAAUGUGAACCAAUCAGGUUUUAGAAUCCCAUCUAUUCUUAAUGUGAACCAAUCAGGUUUUAGAAUCCCAUCUAUUCUUAAUGUGAUCAAAUCAGGUUUUAGAAUCUCAUCUAUUCUUAAUGUGAACCAAUCAGGUUUUAGAAUCCCAUCUAUUCUUAAUGUGAACCAAUCAGGUUUUAGAAUCCCAUCUAUUCUUAAUGUGAACCAAGCAGGUUUUAGAAUCCCAUCUAUUCUUAAUGUGAACCAAUCCGGUUUUAGAAUCCCAUCUAUUCUUAAUGUGAACCAAUCAGGUUUUAGAAUCCCAUCUAUUCUUAAUGUGAACCAAUCAGGUUUUAGAAUCCCAUCUAUUCUUAAUGUGAACCAAUCAGGUUUUAGACCUGGACAGAGCACAACAUUCCUUGCAUUUUGUUUCCCUGGAGCCUCUAGUGCAGGUCAGGACUCUGGUGUUGAAUUAUUUCAAUGAAGAUUGUAUUUUACCCCUUUUUUUCUCCACAAUUUCGAUCUUGUCUCAUUGCUGCAACUCCCCAAUGGGCUCGGGAGGCAAAGGUUGAGUCACGUGUCCUCUGAAACAUGACCCACCAAACCACGCUUCUUAAAACCCGGAAGCCAGCCGCACCAAUGUGUCCGAGGAAAUACUAUUUAACUGACGACCGGGUUAGCCUGCAGGCGCCCGACCCGCCACAAGGAGUCACUAGAGCGCGAUGAGCCAUGUAAAGCCCCCGCCAAACCCUCCCCUCACCCGGACAGACGACGCAAGCCUAUUGUGUGCCAUUCUACGGGGACUCAUAUAAACAUAUAUGCAAGUUUUAUUUAUUUUUAAAUGAAAACCUCAUUAAAUAUGUGCUAUUA